GGGGAGUACGUUCGCAAGAAUGAACUCAAAGGAAUUGACGGGGCCCGCACAAAGCGGGGAGCAGUGGUUAAUUCGAUGCCAAAGCGAAGAACACCUUUACCAGGGCUUGACAUGCCGCGAAUCCUCUUGAAAGAGAGGGGUGCCUUCGGGAAACGCGACACAGUGGUGCAUGGCUUCGUCAGCUCGUGCCGUAAGGUGUUGGCGUUAGUCCGCAACGAGCGCAACCCUGGUUUAGUUGCCAUCAUUGAGUUUGGAACCUGACAAGCGAACUGCCGGUGAUAAGCCGGAGGAAGGUGAGGAUGACGUCAAGUCUCAUGCCCCUUAUGCCCUGGGCGACAACGUGCAUACAAUGGCCGGGACAAAGGUCGCGAUCCUUCCGCGCCGGGUGAAGACUAACUCCAAAAACCCGUCCUCAGUUCGGUAUUGCAGGCUGGCAACUCGCUUGCAUGAAGCCGGGAAUCGCUGAGUAAUCGCGCGUCAGCCAUACGGCGGUGAAUCGUUCCCGGGCCUUGUACACACGCCCGUCACACUAUGGGAGGUGGCCAUGCCCGAAGUCGUUACCUUAACCGCAAGGAGGGGAGCCGAAGGCAGGGCUAGUGACUGGAGUGAAGUCGUAACAAGGUAGCCGUAUGAAGGUGCUUG
rnacentral:rRNA from 11 species